GAUGAACGCUGGCGGCGUGCCUAAUACAUGCAAGUCGAGCGAAUGGAUUAAGAGCUUGCUCUUAUGAAGUUAGCGGCGGACGGGUGAGUAACACGUGGGUAACCUGCCCAUAAGACUGGGAUAACUCCGGGAAACCGGGGCUAAUACCGGAUAACAUUUUGAACCGCAUGGUUCGAAAUUGAAAGGCGGCUUCGGCUGUCACUUAUGGAUGGACCCGCGUCGCAUUAGCUAGUUGGUGGGGUAACGGCUCACCAAGGCAACGAUGCGUAGCCGACCUGAGAGGGUGAUCGGCCACACUGGGACUGAGACACGGCCCAGGCUCCUACGGGAGGCAGCAGUAGGGAAUCUUCCGCAAUGGAAGAAAGUCUGACGGAGCAACGCCGCGUGAGUGAUGAAGGCUUUCGGGUCGUAAAACUCUGUUGUUAGGGAAGAACAAGUGCUAGUUGAAUAAGCUGGCACCUUGACGGUACCUAACCAGAAAGCCACGGCUAACUACGUGCCAGCCGCCGCAGUAA
rnacentral:rRNA from 1 species